UCCAAAUAGACUCUUCGCCACCGAUCAAUAUCCGAGGGGAAGGCUAAACUUAUACUCUAGACAAGAUAUUCUAUCCUUUAUCAGGAAGGUUUUUGAUGGGACAGAGGAAUUAGAUAUUAUUCUUCAGUCUUGCUUUGGAUCUCUAUUCCAUUUGCCGGUUAGUAGGGUUGCGACUUCGGGUAAGGUCAUUCAUGCCUUGUUAUGUAGACAGUUGCUUACUGUAACGCCCGUGAACCAGAAAAUCGGUUAGGGUUUGUUUUUAAAUCAUCCGGUUUAAUUGGUUGGGUUAAUUGGAAACCCUAGAGUGUGCCUAUAAAAGAAGAAAACUCGAAAUUAGGGCUUUAGUUAGCCACUUUUCGUUUUAUAAAGGAGAAAAAGAGAGAAAGGGAGAAGGAGCAGAAUCGUUAGGGUUUGGGAGAAACCAGUUUCGUCUUAUCAAAUCGUGGUAAAAGGUAACGAAAUUUGGUAGAGUUAUUCCCAAGUCGUUUAUCGUUAUUCUCCAGUUUACAGAACUGGAUUUG
rnacentral:sRNA from 1 species